rnacentral:misc_RNA from 1 species
AAGUCGUAACAAGGUUUCCGUAGGUGAACCUGCGGAAGGAUCAUUACUGAGAUAGGGUCCUUCGGGGCCCGACCUCCAACCCUUUGUCUACCUUACCACUGUUGCCUCGGCGGGUCGCCGGCGCCUUUCUAGGCGUCGCCGUCGGCCUCUGCGCUCUCGAGUGCCCGCCGCCAGGCCCUAAAACCCUCUGUAAAUUAGUCUUCUGAGAGUAUAUUCAAUACUUAAAA